rnacentral:rRNA from 1 species
GCAGAGGGAUAGCCCAGAGAAAUUUGGAUUAAAUACCUCAUUAGUAUGUGAGGAUGGCAUCAUUUCACAUUAAACGUCACAACGGCAAAAGAUGAGCAUGCGUCCCAUUAGCUAGUUGGUAAGGUAACGGCUUACCAAGGCUACGAUGGGUAGGGGUCCUGAGAGGGAGAUCCCCCACACUGGUACUGAGACACGGACCAGACUCCUACGGGAGGCAGCAGUGAGGAAUAUUGGACAAUGGGCGACAAGCCUGAUCCAGCCAUGCCGCGUGCACGGAUGACGGUCCUAUGGAUUGUAAACUGCUUUGUACAGGAAGAAACACUACUUCGUGAAGUAGCUUGACGGUACUGUAAGAAUAAGGAUCGGCUAACUCCGUG